AUAGAGUAUGAAUCAGAGGUAACUUAUUUUUAAGAUUUGGGAGAUCUGUUCAAAAAAAAAAAAAGGAAAAAAAAGAAAGAAUCUGAGGACCUAUAUGUAAACCCUAAGGACCUAAUCGUGAAUAUGAUAAAAACAAGGACUAAACUGCAAAAUGCACCAAAUGACAAAUUCCACCGCUUAAGCCUCUCUGCCUUCGUUGUUAAGGAAGCAGAGGAGGCAGCUCGUGGGUGAUCAGGGAAAGAAAAGAAGAAGAAGAAGAAGGAGAAGAAGAAGGAGAAGAGAAAGAAAAUUUGGGGCUUUUAGGGUUUUUGCUUUAAUCUUGUUACUUCGGGUCAAAAUUUGCAAAGGAUAGCGUAACUCUUGCUUAAAUGUUAAGAAUGGGCUGAGGCAGCGGAAAGUUUAGAAGACGUUGGGCAGAACUUUUGUUAGCAUAUAUGUAGUUGUGUAUAAGCUACCUUGCAUCUAAUGAAAUGUGACUAUGAAUCUAAACCUGUGGAUUUUGUGUAAGUUAAAGGAUCCCUCAUGUAUAGGGUUUUGGAAUGUUAAAUUAAAUUGUGUAAUGAUAUGAACUUAUGGUAAAUCGAUGAUUGUGGUGACUGCA